rnacentral:misc_RNA from 1 species
UAAUUUUCAUAUUAUUUGUGGGACUAUUGACUUUUUUAAAAAAUAUAUAAUUUUAUUGGAACAGCAAAAUUAACAGCGUUAAAGCAUUUUUUCUUAAAAUGAUAAUGGAGUAAAGGUUAAGGUAUCAUUUUGUCGAAAAUUGAACCACAUGCUCCUAAGUGUUAAUCAGAGACUCUAACUAAUUUGGGAUUAAAACUUAAUUGUUUUUUCUGCGAUGUGUCAAAGCAUGAAAAUUCAUAUUACUUUUUUAUAAUUUUCCCCAAUUUUUAUCAUCAAAGAUUAUAUGAAUGCACUAUUUGCUCAGAGAAGCAUAAAACAUAAAUAUUUUCUGCAAGUGCAACUAGCUUAACCUAACACUAGAAGCAUAUAUCAUGUGAAAAAUAUAUGGUAUAUGAAAGAAAUAAAAAACAAAAAGAGUACAUCCAAAAGUCUAAUUACAGAGAAGUAUCUUGAAUGCCUAUGCAUUUUUGGGAAUUUCACAAUUCAACUAUUUGUUCAUAUUUUUGAGAUAAAGAAAGGGGGGAAAGGAGGGAGGCCUUUAUUCCAUAUAUAUGAGAUAUUGAUGAAAAGCCAGUAAAAUUAUAAAAAUUCUAAUAAACAGAUGACAUCAAGAAGGCAGAACAGGGGUUCAUUUUGUCUGAGGAGAAAAAAAUCUAAUUAAUUUGAUGAAUUCCUCCUAUCCAAUCAAAUUCCUGUGGUAGCAUGAAAUAAAAGGAAUACCUGCUGCCAAUAAUAAGCAUUUAG